GUUGCAUUAGAUAUUAAUAGCAGUUGCUGACAUGGCGACCUUUUCAUUUUAUGACACGUGUAAAAGCGAAGCCACGUGGAACGUUUUACGUCCCCAACAGCAGCACCGUCCCCAGAUUCCGUCCUCUGUCUCCCUCUCUUGAUUUCAUACUCUUUUUCAUCUCCCUCUUCUCUUCCAAAACUCUCCUCCAACAGAAACACAGCAGAAAUUCAAAUUAUUUACUUAGAGAAGAUUAUUCUUUCUUUCCUUCGUUUUUUCUUAGACUUCGAGGAAAAAUAGAAGGAAAUCUCCGCCAAGCGACACCGACGAGACUGCCUGAUCGAGAAAUGCAGGGUUACAGGAGGGAGAGUAGUACGGGCUCCGAGCUGUCGGAACUAACCGGUCGCAAUUCUAGACAUUUCCUUGGAGAUGUCGAGGUUGAGAUCCCCAUGGAAGAACCCAUCUGGACAGAUGAGAAGCACAGUUUGUACCUCAAUUUCAUGGAAGCAUUGUUUGUUAAAGACCUUUAUGACCACAAGUAUGAUUCCGUAGACUUUCUUGGUUGGUGCCCACAGAAAGAAAACCUACCAGAUCGAAACUCAUCAGGACAAUCAAGUUCCGAAUCCCCUAUAUCCUCUGGCAAGUUCACAGUUCUUCAAGAUGGCUCAUGGCAGACGAAAUUUUUUGAAAGAGCUAAACCUCAAUCAGGGAAUGCAGGUGAGUGUUGUGGCUUUCUGGAAAUUCCACAGAUCCAAUAUUUCAUUUCUGCUGGGAAACACCAAGAAGUUACAUCAGCCAUUUCACAACAAAAUGGUUCACUGCAUACUUCUGCAAUUGGCAUAAGAGGCAACAACACAGCGUCUCAUGGAAAAACAACAAGCUCAAAACAGUUGUCAGUGUGUCAGUUUCACUUGUUUCAUCAGGAAUCUGUUGGGAACAGUACAGAGGUAUCAGAUCAGAACUUCAUAGAUGAAGACCAAGAAGAAAAGCUAAGCAGUCCAUGCAGGACAAAGAGGAUGAAGAGUGGGUUUGAAUAGUUGGCAGCAUUAAGCCGUAGGAAUUGUUGUUCCAUUUGGGGAAUCUUUAUAUCUGUGGAUCCUAAUGAAAGUUGUUCUCCGGUGAAACAACAAAAAGUUCAUGGUGACUGCAAUGGGGAAUCAUGGACAGUUUAUUGUGACCAAAGUCCAGGCUUCCAGGCAUUGGUUAAGGUCAAGAGCUGAAAUGGUAACAUGCAACGUAGUGAUUACGAAGGAUUGAAGUUCUAAGAAAGUGAGAAGUUGGUAUAAGGAUAUGGAAAGGACCAGUCUUUAUUACCAGGUUGAGAGAUACAUAUAGAGAGAUGAAGACAAUGAGGCAUCAAGGAGAUUACUGCGCAGAGUAGUUAGCUUUACGCAAUAAUUUUGUCAUGUCUAAAUUCAGCGAAUUAGGGCUUGCUAUUGAAGAUAUUGGCGGUAGACAAGAGUUGACGACUUUAAACAGGUUAAUAGCUGCAUCGGAAGUAUAUAUAGUAUAUAUAGUAUACGACUUUAAACAGGUUAAUUUUGCAUGAGGAAUACAAGUACUGAAUUCCGGCGAUGUAUUGAAUUGAAACCCUCACAUGCAUAAGGGAAGGCUGUAUACCCUAGUACUCUACUACUACUUUUGUCUAAUCUGCACACCGCAUGCACAUCUUAGCGUGCAUUGGGAACAUCUCCUACUUGUCAUUGGGAGAUGUUUGUUCUGUGGGGUGCAUUCUGUGGGGCACAGUUGUGAAUUCCCUUUUAUCCUCUUCAAACCCAUUAGAGCUGCAAGGCAGAAAAAAAGUAUAAAAAGCAAAAUGAGUACAGAUGAAGUGCCCAAUUUGUUUGAAAUGGAAUCCUAGCGUGAAGGUUAUAUGGGCUUUA